rnacentral:rRNA from 1 species
UACAGAGGUGGCAAGCGUUGUUCGGAAUUACUGGGCGUAAAGGGCGCGUAGGCGGUUCUGUAAGUCCCGCGUGAAAUCCCCCGGCUCAACUGGGGAACUGCGCGGGAAACUGUGGGGCUAGAGUUCAGGAGAGGGAAGCGGAAUUCCGGGUGUAGCGGUGAAAUGCGUAGAUAUCCGGAGGAACACCGGUGGCGAAGGCAGAUCUCUGGGCCGUAACUGACGCUGAGGAGCGAAAGCAUGGGGAGCGAACAGG